rnacentral:rRNA from 1 species
UACGUAGGGGGCGAGCGUUAUCCGGAAUUACUGGGCGUAAAGAGUGCGUAGGCGGCUCUUUAAGCGCGGGGUUUAAGGCUACAGCUUAACUGUAGUUCGCCCCGCGAACUGGAGGGCUUGAGUACAGGAGGGGAAGGCGGAAUUCCUAGUGUAGCGGUGAAAUGCGUAGAUAUUAGGAGGAACACCAGUGGCGAAGGCGGCCUUCUGGACUGAAACUGACGCUGAGGCACGAAAGCGUGGGUAGC